AGUUUUAUGAGAAUAUAUAAAAUGAAUUCUGCCCAAUGAUUAGUUUAAUGGCCGCAGUACUUUAACUGUGCUAAGGUAGCAUAAUAAUUUGGCUUUUAAUUAAGGUCUGGUAUGAAAGGAUUUUAUGGGUGAUAACUGUCUUUAUUUAACUUUUAAAAAUUUACUUAAAAGGUGAAAAUUCCUUUAAUAUUAAAAUAGACGAGAAGACCCUAGGAGUUUUCAUUUUGUUGGGGCGACAUUUUAGUAGAUAACCUAAGAAAAAAAUUUGACGGAUAUAUCAAUUAUAAAUAAACUACCCUAGGGAUAACAGCAUAAUAAUAUUUUUGUUUGUGACCUCGAUGUUGGACUAGG
rnacentral:rRNA from 1 species